AAUUAGACGACCUCUGUUGGUGUGGCCUCAGCCCUGCAAGAAAUUCAGCAGACUCCCUAAGCGUAAGCUCGAUGCAGGGCCAAAGUCUGCCAGCAGGGGGCGCACCCAAGCUCACAGCAAAGACAAAGGCCAGAAGCAAACUGUUGUGGGGUGGUGAGCGGAUGGAGGCUGCUGGGAAAGGCAGGGAGCAGAAUCCGAGAGUCAAUCAGCAGGGCCAGGAAGAAGAUAUCUAACCUUUCACCUCCAAAACGAACAUUGAAAGUACAGAAACACAAGAUUGGCUGUUUUCUAAGAGGGAGAAUGAAAAGCUGGGAGUCCUCUUGGUGGCCAGACAGGAAACUUGUCUCCCAGGAAGAGACUUCACUCUGUUAGACUGCCUGGCAGGACGCACUGGAGCCCCAAUAACAACAGCGGUAGAUGGCUUAUCCUGGUUCAUUCAGGCUGCCAGGGCCCUUCCAGAUGCUGGUCCUCAACACAUCAGUAACAAUAGGACAGAGAGGUCACCAGGAAACUGGCUUCUCACUAUGGACUGGAGACCUGUAGCAAGGACUUCCAAACAAGCCAUCAGAUGGCCCCACAGAACAUGAGGCCUCAGUGUUUGACUUUUUUUUCCUGCCAUCUGGAAUGUCAAGGUCCCUAUUCCAAGUACAUUUUUUCCUUAGCUACACAGCCAGGCUUUCCUAAAUAUCCACAGUUAUGUGGCCCUUUUGUUGUGGCUUCAGUUUCCUGUGUAUCCUCAACACAAGAGAACAGAGGACCAGGAGGAGAGGGGAAAAUGAAAAGUUGUUUGCUUUCCUGUCAUGCCCCAGUGAACCCACGACUCCCCCACCCCUCACAGACCUGGGAAAGACCCAGAAUGCCACUGUGGUCAGAACAUGCUGUAUUUGAUUCAUUUUCAUUUUUAAGAUAAAAAGUUUUAUUUCAGAGAGAAACACAAAGCCCUGGGUGUUAUGGAUCAGCCAGGAUUUGACAGGGUUCUGGGACUUUCAAACUGUACAAAAUAAAUUGUAUCAUCCCUUGAUAACCCAAAGGACACAGUGGCCACAUCCUAACCCAGGGUCCCCCACCCUGGACCCCAGCUCUGCUCCUCAUGGGCUGCAGGAAGACUUGUAGCACUCUUGUCUCAUUUAGGCCACUUAAUUAUCAGAUGUGACUGUGUCUCCCCAUGCCCGUGUGAGGGUUAAUACUGACUGUCAGCUUUCCAGGUCCUACAGUCACCUAGGAGACAAACAUCUGGGCAUCCGUGUAAUGAAGUUUCUAGAUCGGGUUAACUGAACUGGGACAAUCCAUCCUAAUUAUGGUGGUACCACUCUGCAAGCUGCCGCCCCGGACUGAAUGAAAAGGAGAAAGUGAGCCAAGCGUCCAUCUCUCUCUGCUUCCUGAAUUUGAAUGCAAAGUAACCAACCUGCUUCACACCUCUGCCUUCUCUGCAGUGAUGGGCUACACCCUCCAUCCUUGAGCCAAAAAUAAACCCUUCCUUGCUUAUGCUGGUGUUGCCAGGUGUCUUUGUCCAAGCAGGGAGAAAAGUAACUGAUACAUCCUGCCAUGAUGCCAUCUUAAAUCAGGGGCUCCGCUUACCUCCUGAACUGUACCAGCCUCCUUACUAUCCCCUUGAAGCCACAGCCUUGAUCUCCCUCUGUUCUUACAAUCACCACUCACAUGUUCAUUCAUGGUGUAUGCACUGGUUGAGCGCCUGCUGUGUGCAGCAUAGUCCUGAAUCCUGGGGCUGUAACACUGGUGGGAACUGAAAAUCUGGUCAUAUUCCACCUCCAGUCACUCUCAGAGGAAGUGGCAAGCCAAGGGCGACAGGUCAGCACCAGGAAGGCCUGGGAUCUGCCGUCCCUGUCCUUCCUCACUGGAGGCUGAGAGGGUACAGGUGCCACCUUCACAGACUUCAAC
ensembl:lncRNA